UGUGUGGCCACCAAUCAGCUUGGUGAUCAAACAUCCUCAGAGAUCCAUCUGACUAUAGGAGGUAACUAAUAAAGGUGAAGUUGAUCAUCUUCCAUUGGGUGCAGUUCUUGGAGGAAUCCUUGGGAUCAUCGUGCUCAUCGGCCUGGUUGUCUUUGUUUGGCGUUUGAAGUCUCCACAUCCAACUGCACAUCAGAGUCAGAAUCAGCCUGUUGGAGAGACAGUGACAACAGAAGAAGGAGACGUCCACUAUGGAGAGAUUAACUUCUCGGGGCUCAGAUCUGGACCGUCCUCGGUCUCGGAGCAGGACGGUGGACAGCAGGAGGACACGCUGUAUGCGCUGGUCAAAGUGUCCAAGGCAGCAGACAACGUCACACGGACUGCUGGCGUCCCAGAGGAUCUCUACGCUCAAGUGAAGAGAAAAUGAGCCGUUUCUUGUGGUCACAUUUGAGUUUUAUUGUUAAGAUGCUCUUUACAUAAAUAACUAGCUUCAUCUGUCAGUUUAUGGAGAAAAAGAAUCGUGAGAAAAUAAUCUUCACUGCUUACAGUUAAAGAGGAACUUCAAACAUCCACACCCUGCAGCUCAGAUCGUUUUAGCAAUUAAUACUUUUUUUUACACCUUUAUUUUAUCAGAUGAGUACAAAUAAAUGUCCCAUGGCUCUAAAUAGAAAAAUAUUGUAAAAGCGCUGUUCAUACAUCAAUAUGUGCUAUAAUAUUAACUUUUUAUGUUUGGAAUUGAGUUUUUAUUUUUACAAGGCUUCAUUAAACUUUAUGAAGUUUUUUUUCACAUAUUUUGCAUCAACCAUGUUUUAUUAUACUAUUUCUUCUUCAAAAGACAAUUACGUAAUAAAAACCAUAUACACGA